rnacentral:lncRNA from 1 species
AAUCUGAGAAGGAUUUUGCAAAUUUGGAAAUGAAUUUGGUGGAUUCGGGGAUAGAUUUGAUGGAAGAUUUGGUGAUGUAUUUUAUGGAUUUGGGAGUGAAUUUUGUGGAUUUGGGAGUGAAUUCUAUUGAUUUGAAAACGGGUUCUGGGAAUUUGGGAAUGGAUUUGGAGAUGGGUUUUGCGGGGUUAGAGAUAGAUUUUGUGGAUGGUAGACAUUUGAGUUAUUUUUGUGAUUGGUGUUUUGGAAAAUUUGAGAAGAGGAGAUGGACGAUAUGUUGUUUAGAUGAUCCUCGAUAAUUGGCAUACUAAGGGUAAUAAUGUUUAGAUGGAAAGGGAAUAAUGUCCCACUCAGGGGAUACUAAUUACUGAAUGCUUCUUCUAUAGGUCUUCGCGCUCUUAGCUUCGUCCAUUUCUUAUAUUGGUGACAUCCAUUGACGUUCAAACUGUGCCUUAGAUGUAACAUCCCAAAUCAAUCAAUUUCUUGCAAAUAAAGCUUUUUCCCGACCCCUAAAGGAUAAUGGAUUGAAUUAGAAAGGCAUACAUUUUCUUAAACACAUAAAUAAGAUUCGUCUAUAAUUGACUCAGGUUCAAUAGACGUAGGGCAGGUUUUCUAAUAGGCACAAUACCCCGCUCGAGUAUUGGGUCAUCUUGGGGUCAUGCCUAAAAUAGGGUUUUGGUUUAGUUCUAUCCUAGGUGUCUAGAGUGGGUUUUAACUCUGGUUCUCAAGCGGACAACUUGAGUUUGAAAAUACGAACAACCAUCAGACGACUCACGUGCUAAUAAGUUGUUCGUAUUUCCAACAUAUUUUUGGAAUUGAACAACAGGGGCCGGGACAUCCACGAAACCCCAAAAUAGUUUAAAUAAUACAGGAAUAUGCCAUGAGAUGCGAUAGUUAAACUUUACAGAAUCAAAACGUAUAAACACAUAAAAAGUUAAUCAAAAGACGAAAUCAAACAUUUGGUUAGAACCUAAUUAAAAAUCCCCAGUAGAGUCGUCAUUUCUAUUUUGCGAGAAAAUUUUGACUUUUAGAAGAGAGUCGCCACUUAAUUUUGAAAAAGAAUUAAGAAACCUUAAUAAAACACUUUAAACGAUUCAAAACAGGGAAAUUGUUUUAGGCUAGAGAUUCUAGAUAAGCGGUUCCUAUUAAAGUUUUAGGAAGGUGUUAGGCACCUAAAACGUCCGCUAACUUGCAGUUAUCCGAACUGUUUGAAAAUUGUCUUUGAUUAACCUUGAAAAAGUUGAUUUUUGAAAAGAAAAACGAUUUUAGGAAUAAGUUUUUUGCAAAAUCAGAUUUUUAACGACUUAGUUAAGGAUUCAACUAGGUUCGUAAGAAACACGUAAAAUAAGUAAGAAAAAGAGAAAGGGGAAAGGGGAGAAGUAGUGAUUUAGGAUUUUAAGCCCAAACCAUCGACCCUGUCCUAAUCUAGGUUGGUUUUUUGAUCCAUUUUCACCUGUCCUAGUUCUAUGUUUCCGAGCCCUUUUUGCCUCGAGUUUCACUCCACCUGUAUUAGAUACAACUUUGGCUUCGAGGCCCAAAAUGUACAAAUAAAGGAAUAAGUAAAUAAAUACAACCACAAUAGAUAAAUAACGAUAACAAAUAAAUAAACAGAAAUGAAGCUUAGGUAUCGUCGCCGCUUCAAGAAUGGGACUUUAACCCAUUUCGUAUCCGUGCACUAUGAGAUCGACUUCCAAAAUCUUCCAGAAAGGAUAGGCCUCAAUGGCCCAUUAAGAAAUGCAAAGAGUCCAUUUGUACUCCAACGAAUUCACUUGCAAAAGAAAAGGAAGAAAGAAAAGAAAUUAAUAUGCAUCCAAAAUAUGAAAUGCCACAUGAAUAAAUGAUAUAACAAGUCGGUACAUGAUCAGAAAACUGUGGUAAUCCAAAAAUAAAUAGUAGACUGUGAAUCCGAAUAUAGAAGUGCCAAGAAAAUGGGCUUGUUUAACAUGGUAGAGCCAUACAAUCGGAAAGAGAAUUCUGACUAAAUUAAAUUGGCAAAAUUAUAAAGUUGUGAUUUUUCUUCUUUUAAAUAAAAUGGACUAACAAUCAACUCAGAAAUUAAACCAAUUAACAGAACUAGAAUGGAUAUAAACUACCGCAAAUAGUGAAUCAAAGAACUUCAGCAGACACCAUAUUAGGUAAAACAAUGAGCUACUCGUCAAGGUGAAACAUACUACAAUGGAUCUAAGCUACUACAGGCAAUACAUAUUUGAAAUCUGGAAUUAGAGAUCAUAGCAGUAAGUAAGAUUCUUCGAGAAAAUCAGCAUUUAGUGAUAGAAAAUCUAAGUCAAAGGGGACUAAGACUAAGGUAAGGAAAAUAUAUCCGACUAUGAAUCGAGCUAUAUAACUAGCAUUGAAAGGCGAAGACUAAUGCUAAAAUAACAAAAUAGAAUUUAAACCCGCACCAAAACUAGAACCACAGUUUAGUACGUCGACCAACCCGUAUCACAAAGUCCUAUUUAGAUUUUCAAAAUUCCACGACAAUAUAUUUUCCAGCGAAACGAGAUUACGCCAAUGACUACAACAAGCUAUUUUUAGUAAAACACAAAUACGAUGAAGGCAAUAGCAGCUAGUCCAAGCAUACAGAAGAGAAUUAAACUACUAAUACUUCAUAAAGGCAAAGAAAAUAAGAAAACCUCGUAUGAAACAUGAUGAUAAAUUCUAAGAGCCAGCAACCCAAAUAGUUGAUAUUUUAUCUCAACUAAACUCUCAUCACCGCAAGUAAUAUUUAUACUACUAAAUGUUAUGGAUGAAAAGGUUAUGAAUCGUCAUAACAACAUAUGAGCUAACGAACCUAAACUACACAAUCAAUGUCAAACUAAGCACACUAAGACUUCAAAUAGUGAGUUACACUCGUGAUCUUUUUAAAGGAUUGAAUGUGAAAUUCAGAGAUGAUAAAUAUCAACAAAGGGAGAAAAAAAAGUUAUCACAACAAAUGAAUAAUCGAAAAGAAACAAUUCUAGUAAAGCAAGGGACUUAUAUGAUGUAUUUGUUAUCCCUUCUUGUAAUUUCUUGUCGAGAGGUAUUUGAGGAACAUCUUCACAUGCUUACGAUGAAUUAGAAGACAAUCGCAAAACAAACCCAAGAAUGAGUGAAUUACUAGAAAUACUGAACUAGAACAAUAAAAGGCUUAAAACAGCAAAUUUGUUCAGUCAAAAACUAUAAUACUCAGGGCAUGAAAAGCUAGUGAUUAAUGACAUAAAAUUUGUAGCACAAUAAUGACAACCUAAAGAGUAUAUCUACGAAAGGUAGCGCACAAAAGAAACAGUAACCAUUAUUUGACGGUAUUGUCAUAAAAUAAUAAACUUUAAAGUGAAUCGAAGCACGCGACAUUAACUGGAGCAAGAAACAACGAACAUCACAGUAACAAGCAUCAUAAUAAAACCUAUGGCCAUCAAAUGGCGUCUACAGCGAACAAUCCAGCACAAGAUCAUUAGAACAACACUUUUCACUACAGAAUGAUGUGAUGAAGUAGAAGUACUCAAAAACUUAAAUGGAAGCGGAAUGUUACCUUUUGGGGAGCAGCAAAAUGGAAUAAAUGGGAUGACAUCGGGAUACACCACCACUAGUAAUCAGUGAUAUCAACUCUGGAACCUCCGAUUAACCGGCCAAAUUUCAGAAAGAAGAAAGAAAAAGAGAAUUUUUUAGGAAAAGAAAUUAUUUUGCUCUCCAACUUUCUUCCCAUUCUCUCUCUAAUUUUUUUUUCUUUUGUCCAAGAAAAUUUCUCAACCCCCUCUACUCGAUCCAAAAGAAAUUUUUUCAACCAAUUUCCAACACCCAAAGUUUUGAACCCUCGAAUUUCCAGCCUCCCCACAAUUUCUCAAUCAAUUUUCCAACACCCAAAGUUUUGAACCCCCAAAAACAAUGACCCAAAGGAUUUUUAUAUACAAGACUGAAUUAGGGGUAUUUUGGGACUUGAAAAAAAAGGAUAUUUUUUGAAUUCCAAAUUCAAAUCUCUCUACAGCUUGGUUUUCAUCUACAAACGUACCCAUUUUUUGAAAUUAGUGGACCAAUAAGAUUUAGGAAAAAUGAAUUUUCCCCUAGAGCCAAUGAAAUUGUGACAUACAUGAACAAAAUCGUACCCCUCAUAGCCGAGAUUCACAGAAUUAAGCCAUUGAGGGGACACUUGGACCUAUUCUAGAAGCUUCUAGGGUUUUCCUUGUCCUACUGCCAUGUGAGAUGCAUGAAGGGGGAAAAGAGUUGUUUAGGAUGGAUUUCAGGUUGGGUCAAUGGAUUGCUGGUUAGUUGAUAUCGGGUUGUGGCUGAGAAACGGGUCGACAGAUCGUCGACAUCGUUGGAGCUGAAGGGAUCGGGUAUUUAGAGUUGGCUGUGUUUUUCUAUUUGUGCAAUGUUAAAAAUUAUUCAUGUUUUGUGUGUUAUUGUUGAUGAAGGGA